UACGAAGGGGGCUAGCGUUGCUCGGAAUUACUGGGCGUAAAGGGCGCGUAGGCGGACAGUUUAGUCAGAGGUGAAAGCCCCAGGGCCCAACCUUGGAAUUGCCUUUGAUACUGGCUGUCUUGAGUUCGGGAGAGGUGAGUGGAAUGCCGAGUGUAGAGGUGAAAUUCGUAGAUAUUCGGCGGAACGCCAGUGGCGAAGGCGACUCACUGGCCCGAUACUGACGCUGAGGCGCGAAAAGCGUGGGGAGCAAACAGG
rnacentral:rRNA from 1 species